CCCUUCGUCACCCUUGGAUAGUGUCUUGAACGCACGAACAAAACGCCGCUAUUUGGAUAUAACUAUGUAUUAUUUUGAACCAAACCAACAUUUGUUAUUGAAGUAGCAGUCCUGGGAGUGCAUUCUGACGAAGAACACCAAAGACCUCUUCCAGGACAACAGUAGCACCAAUCCCAGCAGCAUUAGCAGCAGGGGAUACAUAAAAAAUCUGCUCCUCUGCUCAGCAGGCAUCACACAGCACACUGUGGAAGGUUGCUUCAGAGAAGCCCACAUGGUCAAAGGCCAUUGUGCAAGUAUGGUAUCAUCACUCAUCACAUCCAAAUGGACUAGG
rnacentral:lncRNA from 1 species